CUGAAGGUGAUGGCUAGUGGCGUUCUGUUAUUUUCUUUGUUGGGCCUGUCCUGUAGUAGGUGACUUCUGGGUAUUCUUCUGGCUCUGUCAAUCUGUUUCUUCACUUCAGCAGGUGGGUAUUGUAGUUGUAAGAAUGCUUGAUAGAGAUCUUGUAGGUGUUUGUCUCUG